GAUGAACGCUGGCGGCGUGCCUAAUACAUGCAAGUCGAGCGAACGGACGAGAAGCUUGCUUCUCUGAUGUUAGCGGCGGACGGGUGAGUGACACGUGGAUAACCUACCUAUAAGACUGGGAUAACUUCGGGAAACCGGAGCUAAUACCGGAUAAUAUUUUGAACCGCAUGGUUCAAAAGUGAAAGACGGUCUUGCUGUCACUUAUAGAUGGAUCCGCGCUGCAUUAGCUAGUUGGUAAGGUAACGGCUUACCAAGGCAACGAUGCAUAGCCGACCUGAGAGGGUGAUCGGCCACACUGGAACUGAGACACGGUCCAGACUCCUACGGGAGGCAGCAGUAGGGAAUCUUCCGCAAUGGGCGAAAGCCUGACGGAGCAACGCCGCGUGAGUGAUGAAGGUCUUCGGAUCGUAAAACUCUGUUAUUAGGGAAGAACAUAUGUGUAAGUAACUGUGCACAUCUUGACGGUACCUAAUCAGAAAGCCACGGCUAACUACGUGCCAGCAGCCGCGGUAAUACGUAGGUGGCAAGCGUUAUCCGGAAUUAUUGGGCGUAAAGCGCGCGUAGGCGGUUUUUUAAGUCUGAUGUGAAAGCCCACGGCUCAACCGUGGAGGGUCAUUGGAAACUGGAAAACUUGAGUGCAGAAGAGGAAAGUGGAAUUCCAUGUGUAGCGGUGAAAUGCGCAGAGAUAUGGAGGAACACCAGUGGCGAAGGCGACUUUCUGGUCUGUAACUGACGCUGAUGUGCGAAAGCGUGGGGAUCAAACAGGAUUAGAUACCCUGGUAGUCCACGCCGUAAACGAUGAGUGCUAAGUGUUAGGGGGUUUCCGCCCCUUAGUGCUGCAGCUAACGCAUUAAGCACUCCGCCUGGGGAGUACGACCGCAAGGUUGAAACUCAAAGGAAUUGACGGGGACCCGCACAAGCGGUGGAGCAUGUGGUUUAAUUCGAAGCAACGCGAAGAACCUUACCAAAUCUUGACAUCCUUUGACAACUCUAGAGAUAGAGCCUUCCCCUUCGGGGGGGCAAAGUGACAGGUGGUGCAUGGUUGUCGUCAGCUCGUGUCGUGAGAUGUUGGGUUAAGUCCCGCAACGAGCGCAACCCUUAAGCUUAGUUGCCAUCAUUAAGUUGGGCACUCUAAGUUGACUGCCGGUGACAAACCGGAGGAAGGUGGGGAUGACGUCAAAUCAUCAUGCCCCUUAUGAUUUGGGCUACACACGUGCUACAAUGGACAAUACAAAGGGCAGCGAAACCGCGAGGUCAAGCAAAUCCCAUAAAGUUGUUCUCAGUUCGGAUUGUAGUCUGCAACUCGACUACAUGAAGCUGGAAUCGCUAGUAAUCGUAGAUCAGCAUGCUACGGUGAAUACGUUCCCGGGUCU
rnacentral:rRNA from 1 species